rnacentral:rRNA from 1 species
AGUGAACGCUGGCGGUAGGCCUAACACAUGCAAGUCGAACGGCAGCACAGGAGAGCUUGCUCUCUGGGUGGCGAGUGGCGGACGGGUGAGGAAUACAUCGGAAUCUACUCUGUCGUGGGGGAUAACGUAGGGAAACUUACGCUAAUACCGCAUACGACCUAAGGGUGAAAGCAGGGGACCUUCGGGCCUUGCGCGAUUGAAUGAGCCGGUGUGGGAUUAGCUAGUUGGCGGGGUAAAGGCCCACCAAGGCGACGAUCCGUAGCUGGUCUGAGAGGAUGAUCAGCCAAAAUGGAACUGAGACACGGUCCAGACUCCUACGGGGGGCAGCAGUGGGGAAUAUUGGACAAUGGGCGCAAGCCUGAUCCAGCCAUACCGCGUGGGUGAAGAAGGCCUUCGGGUUGUAAAGCCCUUUUGUUGGGAAAGAAAUCAGCUGGCUAAUACCCGGUUGGGAUGACGGUACCCAAAGAAUAAGCACCGGCUAACUUCGUGCCAGCCGCCGCCGUAA